UGAGUAACCUGCCCUUAACUCUGGGAUAAGCCUGGGAAACUGGGUCUAAUACCGGAUAUGACUCCUCAUCGCAUGGUGGGGGGUGGAAAGCUUUAUUGUGGUUUUGGAUGGACUCGCGGCCUAUCAGCUUGUUGGUGAGGUAAUGGCUCACCAAGGCGACGACGGGUAGCCGGCCUGAGAGGGUGACCGGCCACACUGGGACUGAGACACGGCCCAGGCUCCUACGGGAGGCAG
rnacentral:rRNA from 1 species